UUCUGCUCCGCUUUUCUUUGUCUUCCUUCUCCUCUGCAUUCUCUCCCUUUUCCAUUUUCUCCUUCUUCCCUCUCCACCUUCCACUCCAUCUUCCCUUUUAUCUGCCCAAUCAUCAGCUCUCCUUUAUUUUACAAAUUAAGGUGGGAAGCAAGUUUACAGGAAAUCACCUGAGUGCUGACUCAUUCCUUGUUUUGCAACCACUCACAGGUGAAUGGAAUUAACAUCAAAUAUAAUUAGCCCUAGGGCUAUCCACAACACUUAUAUACUAAUACAACACUAACAAUAUUGGAACAAAUGUUUAAUGACAAUAGACAAUAUAUUGCAUACCAUACAAUGAUGAACAGAUGAAUGAGUUUCAAAUCAAGUCCUGCUAUCUUAAAAAACAAAAAAAACUUUGUGUUUUAAAUAUUCUUGGCCCAGGAAUCGCACUAUUAGGAGUUGUGGCCUUGUUAGAGUUGGUGUGACCUUGUUGGAGGAAGUGUGUUACUUUGGAAGUGGGAGAGCCUUCUCCCACUGCUUUUCAGAUCAAGAUGUAGAACUCUCAGCUCCUUCUCCAGUUUCAUGCCAGCUUGAACACUGCCAUGUUUACUUACUGCAUUGAUGAUAAUGGACUAUAAUCCUCUGAACUGUAAGCCAGCCCCAAUUAAAUGUUGUUGUUGUUGUUGUUUUUAAUAAGAAUUACCUUUGUCAUAGUGUCUCUUCCCAGAAAAAAAACAAAACCUAAGAUAUGAAUGUCAGGAUAAUUUGCAAAUAAUUUCUUCCAAUCAUUUGCUUGCUAUAACCUGCAUAUAUGUUUACUUUCAGUGUUUGUUCUUAGGGGGGCUAUUUUUAAAGUGGCUGCCUAAAUCAAUGUUGUGAGGCACUUCUACUAGGUUAUUUUUGUAGGAUUUCAUAGUUUCUGGCUUAAGAUUUAGGUUUUUGAUUUAUUUGCAAUUGAUUUUUGUGUACAGUGAAAGGAAGGAAUCUAGUUUUUUUUUGCACUUGCAUAGCCACUUUUGACAGCAUAAUUUAUUAAACUGUGUUUUUUCUAACAUAUAUUCUUAGUGCUUUUUAACUAAAAGUCAGUAGCUUUUUAUAUAGGGAUCAAUUUCCAUAUUCUUGGAGCUGCUUCUGUUGGGUUACAUGUCAUUUUAAUGCUAUAACUGUAUUGACUUUGUUACUAUAGCUUUGUAAUAUAUCUGCACACAUUUUUACUAAUUACCCUUUUGACAUUUUAAUACAUGUGUGAAAUGCAUUUUGUAUUUUACAGUCAGCAGAAGAUCUCCAGUUGCUUUCCCUUUGCUCAGGAUUGCUUUACUUUCUUAGAGUCUUUUGUGGAAAAAGAAGGGCAACUUUAGAGAUUUGGAGAUUUAUGCUUCAUCUUAGAUGUUCAAUAGUGUACUCUGGGAUUCGUGCC
rnacentral:lncRNA from 1 species